AUUUUAAUUUGAUUCAAUUGUUAUAUUUAAAAAAUUCAGUUUUUUAUUUUUCAGUCUGAAUAUAGAAUUUGCAGUUCUAAUUAGAUAACCUAAGGUCAAAUUCCUAAUGAUUUCAAUCUUAGCCCGUUGGCCGAUUCUACUUUUGGGUUUUAAUGAAUUAAUGAGUUGAUUCAAUUCAAUUUUCACUUGAAGAUGAUUUGUUUUGAAAUUUUAUGGCAUUGAGAUUAACAAUGAACCUGUUGGGGACCUCCUCAGCACAAAAUGUAAAUUG
rnacentral:misc_RNA from 1 species